rnacentral:lncRNA from 1 species
UUUUUUUUUUUUUUCCCCCAUACCCAUGACAUGUGUAAGUUCCCAGGUCAGGGAUCAAACCCACGCCACAGCUAUAGCCAGAGCCACAGCAGUAUCUGCUACACUUUUGAUUUGUUCUUAAAACAUUUUCCAACAUGAGGAUGGUCUUUCAACCCAUGGUGCUGAUCUGAGAAUGUUCUAAUGGAAAAACUUAGUUCCCUAAUUAGAAUAUCAUAACAGUAGAUAACACAUUCUGUAAGUACUAAUAGUGGUAGUUUUGGGGAAAUUAUUGCAUGCAGAGAAAGCAAAUCAAUGUUUGGUGUAAGUGUCCGUUUCAGUGAGAACAAAACAUUGUCCCUUCCUUGAUGGAAGCAGUUCAAUGUCAUCAACCUGCUACCAGGUAGCUGACCGACUAUCCCAAGGUAUGGUACAACUUCAGGGGCUCAAUGUUGGUCUCUGAAGGUGGCAGAUUGGACACUCAGCAGUGGACAUAGCCAACUAUCCAUGACUACUUUGUUUAUGAGCCCAUUUGGGGAUGACAGUGUUGGCUAUGAAAAGGGGCUGCCUGGUAUCCACAAAAUGGAUCACUCUAUCCACUUGAUUAUUAAAAUCCUCCUCUGCUGAGGUCCGUUUUUGGUAAACAUUCAUAUGGGCACAAAUAUAUUCACUUUUUUGCCCAUUCAGAGAAGUAUAUCCAAAUAUCCCUUUCACUAAUUUCCAUGUUUAUUCCACCUCUCUGAUCAUCCAGCCAAGCAAUUGGUCAUAAUCCAAGAAUCACUAUGUAAUCACACAUUUGGCCAUUUUUACUUUAAAGCAAGUAAUCUCUUUUGUAUGUUGAUAUGACACAUAAAAUAUACCCAGAACUCUUAAUUCAUGCCUUAUUCCCUAACAUCAAAUUCCCUUCCUUGCUCAGCUUACUUCUUUGAUUCUUAUCACCAUCUGAUACACUUAAUAUUUAGUUUACCAAUCUUUUAAUUGUUCUCUUUUCAUUAGAAUCUAAAUUUCAUGCUGCAAAGAAUUCAUGUUUUGUUUUGUUCAUUACUAUAUUCUGUAAGUUUGGCAUGUAAUAGGGGUUCAAAAAUAUUCAUUUAAACAAUGAACAUCACAGUUUUAAUAUCUAUCACGUGUUUUCCAACUGUCUCCAUGCUUAUUGCUUUACCUCUUCAAGAGGAAGACUUGAUAACUCCUCCAGACAACUCUUUGAAGUAAAUGCCUAUCUCAUAAAUAGGUUACAAUCCCAUGGAGUCAAGUGCCUACUCUGAUCUAUGAAUCAACUUAUGGUCAUAAUUAACACAGUAGCUAACAUACUGCCUAGAAAGCUACUAGCUUCCACAUAGUUAAGUAGACAGCUUAUCUGGAAGAUUAUGUCACUAGGUAAAAUAUAUUAAAAAUAUUAGUUGGUUCUUAAAUAUGUUUGUUCUUUCAUAUUAUGUGUUAAAAAAAGCCCCAUAAUAUUACCAAAUAAAAAGAUGGGACCUAGAAGCAUCAUGGGAAGGAAUGGUGACAAACUUACUCAGCUGCACAUAUUCCUUUUAAAUUCAAAAUAAGAAUUCUUGCAGUGCCCUUAUAAAAAUACUGAAACUCUAGGGGCUAAUUUAAUGAUGAACCUCUCCAAUAAAAUCAUUAAUUUUCUGCCAUUAAAUUCUUCCAUUAAUUAGACAGUUUAGGGCAAAAAAGAAAAACUUUUUGUCUUCAUAAUCCUUUGAACAAAAUGAAAUUACCUCUUCCAGGUAUCUAGCAGGAGUUUAUGAAAAUAAAAUCCUAAUAUUAUUCAUAAGCUUUGGAUUAAUUUUUUGUUUGUAGGUCUCUUAAAAAUGGAUAGAGCAAAAAUUUUGAAUACUUAUACUUUCAAUAUUGCUUUUAAAUCAGAGCUAAAAUAGCAUUUAUUAAUGUACAAUUAUAUGUUUUAUUUACAUAUCUGUGCACUUAGGAUUGAUGAAUAAAUGACAAACAGUUUAAGAAUUAAGAAAUAAUAACAUAUCAAUUAGUCUUGGUCCAGAUUUAAGGUACUUCAACGUUACUUUUAAAAUUUGUAUCCUGCUGUAUAGCAUAGGAAACUAUAUCUAGUCACUUGUGAUGGAGCAUGAUGGAGGAUAAUGUGAGAAAAAGAAUAUUACAUACAUAUACAUACAUACGUACAUAUAUAUAUGACUGGGUCACUUUUCUGGACAGUAGAAAUUGACAGAACACUGUAAAUCAAUUAUAAUGGAAAAAAUAAAAUUCUUAAAAAUAAAAUAAAAUGUGUAAUUGGCAGUGUCAAUAAAAUAUAUGUAUUGAAAAUCUACUGUGUUUUGGAUGUGGUUUGAUGCACUAAGAAAACAGCAGAGAUGAAAACAGGCAAAAAAACAGAGUUCCCAUCGUGGCUCAGCAGAAACAAAUCUGACUAGUAUCCAUGAGGAUGCAGGUUUGAUCCCUGGCCUCGCUCAGUGGGUUAAGGAUCUAGUAUUGCCGUGAACUGUGGUGUAGGUUGCAGACAUGGCUCGGAUAUGGGGUUGCUUUGGCUGUGGCUGUGGCCAGCAGCUAUAGCUCCAAAUCGACCCCUAGCCAUGGAUGCAGCCCUAAAAAAAAAAAAGAAAGAAAGAAAGAAAAGAAAAAGAAAACAGACAAAUAUCUUUAUCCUGCAAGAGAGUAUUAUUCUUGGGGAGUAAUGCAUAGAUGAUAUAGAUGGAUGAAUAGACAGAUAUCUCCAAAGAGCAUUAAGUAUGUUGGAAAAUAUAAUGUAGGAGGAUGUGGUAAAUAAAUAUAUUUGAUCUGGUUUGCUUUUUUAUACAUAAGAUAGACCAAAAACAUCUUUCUGAUAAAAUAAUGUUGAAGAGAAUUUGGAAAGAAAUGGGAGAGGAAAGGAUAAAGAUAUCUGAGGGAGGUCUCUUGCAGCCAAAGCAAACAUGGGUUCGACCAAGACUCAAACAUGCACAUCACUGCUAACGUCUUAGUGGAAGACCAGAAAGAAGGAGACCCCAAUUUCUGUGUAAGGAUGAGAAUAAAGAGUUUUCCCCUCAAUGUACAUAACUAGGUAGAAACUGCUAAAUUCUAUGUGAUGAGGAGUUUGCCACUUAAAAGCUUGUUAACAUGGGGGGUGAAAACAAAAUAGCCACUCUUUUCUACUCUAAAAUUCAAAAAAUAUCAUUCACUUAAAAUAUGUUUGAAUAUCUGGGGUCCCAUUGUGGCUCAGUGGGUUAAGAACCAGACAUAACGUCCAUAAUAUUGAGGGUUUGAUCCCUGGCCUCACUCAUUGGGUUAAGGAUCUGGCAUUACUGCAAGCUGCAGAGUGGGUUGUGGAUGUGGCUCAAAUCUGGCGUUGCCAUGGCUGUGGCAUAGGCUCCAGCUAUAGCCCCCAUUCAACCCCUAACCCAGAAACUUCCAUACGACACAGGUGUGGCUGUAAAAAGAAAAAAAUAUGUCUGAUUAUCUAAUAAUGUACUAUUUUAAGGAUGAUAAGUGAUAUUAAAUAAAUAAGAUAUAGUCCUAGCUAUUAUGGGGUCUAAAAUAUAAUUAAGAAGAUGAAUUGUACACAGAAAACUAUAUAGGUGUCAAAUAUGGCCAUAUAUAACAAUUGUAUUGAAUUUAAAGACAGCGCAUAAAGCAAAUAUAGCCAAGGAGGAGUAUAUUAGAAAAAAGAGACAAUGUCUAAUAGUCUCUUUAAGAAUUUUCUUGAAGUAAUAAUUUUCAAAAGAAGAGAAAAUAUACUUUAUUCAAUAAAUCAAUGUGUAUAGUUCUAGGAAUUAUCUUUAAAAGGAGAAAUAUUUUAUGAAUUUUUUCCAUUCCAUUGGAAAUAGAAAUUUCCAAAACUGUCUUUAAAAAAUUAUUUUAGAAAUUGACAAAACUUUAGGAAAUUUACAAAAAAAUAAAAUAUAAAGUUAAUUCCUAACUAUGGUUAGGAAAGCAAACAAAAACAAGCUUAACUGUAAAAUAUUUGUGUAUAUAGAUUGAACCAAGCCCACGAAAACCUUGUAAAUAUACAUCUGAAUGUAGAAUUCGAUGUGAAUUUGUGGGUAGCUCUCUGUGUCUGCCCAUCUCUCCACUUCUUUGGGUUCCUUGUUAUUAAGGGCCAAAUGUUAGUUACCUUUGUACCCACAGAGGCUCAGGGUCAGGUCUGCACCAACUGACAUUUAAGAUGCUUAUUGAACAAAUGAAUGAAUACAAUACACUUUAGAGUAGAGCUUAAAGCUAAUUUUAAUUCCAUGCCAUUCUUGACUUUAAUUCACUCCUCUAAUUGUGUGAAAUAAUAUUUCUUCUCUGAGGUUGAAUGGUUUUUUUAAAUGAAAACUUGUAUCCAUCUCACAUGUCAACACUUUUUAAUAUUGUCUGAAAUAAAGUAGAAUGACAAAGGCUGGGAUGUGAUAUUUACACCUUGGAUAAAGAAAGGGAGGGCUGGGCAUUUGAGAAAUUGUCUUUAAAGGACUUCUAAUGACAUUUAAAAAAUAUGUAUUUGACUAUUUUUACCAUUUCAAGAAAUAUUGAGAUAAUAUUCUCUAUAUGAUAAGUAUUUAGCAGGUUUGAAAUUAUUAUUUAUUUAUUUAUUUAUUUAUUUAUUUAUUUUGGCUUUUUAGCUUUUAGGGCUGCACCUGCAGCAUAUGGAUUUUCCCAAGCUAGGGGCCCAAUCGGACCUGUAGCUGCCGGUCUAUGCCAGAGCCGCAGCAAUGCUAGAUCUGAGCUGCGUCUGCAACCUACACCACAGCUCACAGCAAUGCCAGAUCCUUAACCCACUCAGUGAGGCUAGGGAUCGAACCCACAUCCUCAUGGAUGCUAGUCAGCUUUGUUAAUCUCUGAGCCACGAUGGCAACUCCCAAAAUUACUCUUAACAGAAUUAAAUUCAGACUCUAAUAAAAUCAAAUAUUGGUAGAAUAACUAGUAAAUUCCAAGUUAGUUACUGUAGACAGAGAAAAACAUGAUAAAAUCCCAGCAUAAGUAACCAGUUUUUAAAAGUAAUUUGGAGAAGCACCAUAUCUAUUUCUGCAAAACUUAAGUUAGAUAUUGCAAAGUGUUCAUACCAAUAAGAGAAUUAUAUAUUGCCUGUUUUAGGCUGUAGUAAUUUUGGAAAAGAGUUUGACAAAAGUAGAUGAGCCUUUAUUUUGAAUUUAAAGGAUAAUAAUUUUGAGGCAGAAAAUAAUCUAGAUCAAGAAAAUCUCUCAAUAGCAACUCUAGUAGGGGAAAAAAUAGUUCUUUUUAUCUACCAAGUCAUAUAAUAAACCUACAUUGUAUUUGAAAAUAAUUUCAAACUGUGUUAUGUUGUCUACCUCAAAAUUCUCCCUCCUAUGUUCUGUUGAUCUUGGCCCAAAAUAUCACAACAGUAUUAGUAUAAGGAUACAUUCUAGAGAGGAGUAGGCUGGAGAACUCAUUCGUUAAAAAUCUAUUCAUUUUUUUCCUAGAAUUUGGAACACAUCAGUGAACGAAGAAUAGCGCCCUACACCAUUAGAGUUUACAUUGUGAAAAUGGGUCAGAAAAAAAAUUUUAAAGAUUCACAUAUAAAUAUUUUCAGAUUUUUGAGUCCUACACUGCAGUUAUAAAUACUCAAUUCUGCCAUUGUAUCAAAAGCAGGUCUAGCUAAUACAUAAUUAUAUGAGUAUGGCUAUGUUCCAAUAAAGUUUUGUUUACAAAACAGAAGUUGGGCUGGACGUGUCCUGUGGGACAUAGUUUGCCUAUCUCAGUUCUAGCAAUAUAUUUUAUAAUAUGCUAAAAGGUGACAUGUCAUAGAAGAAAAGAGAGGGACAAGUUAGGGAAUCGGAGGUGGGAGAGUAGAUUAAAAUGCUAAAUAAGGAAUUCCCUCUGUGGCUCAGCCCCGUAGCGAACCCGACUAGUAACUAUGAGGAUGUGGGUUCUAUCCCUGGUCUCACUCAGUGGGUUAAGGAUCCAGUGUUGCCAGGAGCUUCAGAGUAGAUUGCAGAUGCAUCUCAGAUCUGGCAUUGUUGUGGCUGCGGCACUGGCCGGCAGCUAUAGCUCUGAUUCAACCCUAGCCUGAGAAUUUCCCUAUGUCACGGGUGCAGCCCUAAAAAGACAAAAAUUAAAAUAAAAUGAAAUACUAAAUAAAGUGGUCAAGGUGAAUCUCGUUAAGAAAGUACUGUAGAUGCAAAAGAAUCAAGGGAAGUGAGGGAAGAAGCCAUGCAUCCAUCUUGUGGAAUUGCUCCAGAUGAGUGGGAACCUCAGUGCACAGGGGUAUUGCCUGUGUUGCAUUGAAAUGAGCAAGAAGGGU